rnacentral:rRNA from 1 species
UACGGAGGGGGUUAGCGUUGUUCGGAAUGACUGGGCGUAAAGCGCGCGUAGGCGGAUCAGGAAGUUGGGGGUGAAAUCCCGGGGCUCAACCCCGGAAUGGCCUUCAAAACUCCUGGUCUUGAGUUCGAGAGAGGUGAGUGGAAUUCCGAGUGUAGAGGUGAAAUUCGUAGAUAUUCGGAGGAACACCAGUGGCGAAGGCGGCUCACUGGCUCGACACUGACGCUGAGGCGCGAAAGCGUGGGGAGCAAACAGG